GAAAAAGUAUUUCACUACCACCAAGCUACUUCGGAAAAAGUGAUCAUAUCUACAUCGGAAGUGUCAUAGACUACAAAUUGCAAGACAGAUCACUUUGGUCAGGUGUUAACAGACUGUGUAAUUAGACCAUUAAACACAAAAACGAUGUUUCAAGUGAGAAUUAUGCAGGUCUGAUGCUGAAAAAGCCACUUUCUGUGUGGGAACAACCUCUGUGAGAAGGAGGAGGACCUGAAGAGCUGGGAGGUGAACUUUGCCCAUGUGGAGCAGGGAGAGAAGAGAAACACACAGGUCAAACUCAGAGAAAGGAGGUGAUCGCCAAGAAAAAAAGACAAGUCGUCUGAGGAAAAUCAAGUUGAGCCACAGGCAAAAAGAUCCAAGAAAGCAGAGACAAACAUCACGAGGAGACACAAAG